GUUAUCCUACGGGGCGCAGCAGUGAGGAAUAUUGGUCAAUGGCCGAGAGGCUGAACCAGCCAAGUCGCGUGAGGGAAGACGGCCCUACGGGUUGUAAACCUCUUUUGUCGGGGAGCAAAGCGAACCACGUGUGGUUCAUUGAGAGUACCCGAAGAAAAAGCAUCGGCUAACUCCGUGCCAGCAGCCGCGGUAAUACGGAGGAUGCGAGCGUUAUCCGGAUUUAUUGGGUUUAAAGGGUGCGCAGGCGGAGGUGCAAGUCAGCGGUCAAAUUGCGGGGCUCAACCCCGGCCCGCCGUUGAAACUGG
rnacentral:rRNA from 1 species